UUCUAAAUAAAAAAACACAAAAUUGUUUUUGUUACGAACUAAAUUUUCAUUAAUAAUAGAAACAGAUUGAAAACAACUCCACCCAAAAAUGUAUCGAAGAAACAAACGAAAACAACCACAACGACGGUGGCAGCGCAGCAGCAGCGGGAGAGCAACUUGAAAAUGAAGACAGAAAAAUUCCUCAACGCAGCAGUGCGGCUGCCUCUGAUCGCAGCAUUGAUGAGAAAUUCGUAAGCACAACUUCACAAAUUUCUAAUGCUCGAUUUGCUCGUCUUGCUUAUUGCCAGAAAGAAAAGCAACCAAUUAUUGAUUUCAAAUGAAAAGGUUGAAAAUUUCGCAUGAAAUAUGCACAAUUUACUGUUGCUGCUGAUUAUGAUUUAUUUGUUGUUGUAGUCCAUUUUGUGUGGUGGUUGCUUUCAGAAUGUUUCACAAUAAUAUUGUUUUAAAAGUUG